UUCUUUUUUUUUUCCCCAGGGCCACACCUGCGACAUAUGGAGGUACACAGGCUAGGGGCUGAAUCAGAGCUGUAGCUAUGGGCCUAUACCACAGCCAGAGCAACAUGGGGAUCUGGGCCGAGUCUGUGACCUACACCACAGCUUACAGCAAUGCCGUAUCCUUAACUCACUGAGCAAGGCCAGGGACUGAGCCUACAACCUCGUGGUUACUAGUUGGAUUUGUUUCCCCUCCUCCACAACGGGAACUCCCCAUGUUCAACUUUCAACAGAAACUUACCACACUGAAAGGCAAAAAACACAGUUUGAAGAGACACAGCAAGUAUCGGAACUAUACCCAGAUAGAGUACAGAUUUAGGAAUUAUCAGACCAGAAGUUUAAAAUAACUGUGAUUUAUGUGCAAAGGGCUCUAAAGUAUCCAUCUAUUUAUCUUCUUCAUCUCAGUCAGACCAUGAAUGCUACUUUGUCUUUUGUACAUACAACAUACAACAUCAUGUUCGACUUCAUAACAUAUUUAAAUCUAACAAACGGGUUUACCUUUAUCUUUUAUCAAGUUAUUUUCUUGGUUAAUUUGUGAAAUUCUUCCCUAAAAGACAUCUUGGUGUUGUUUAUUCUUACAAAAAAAAUAACUUAAAAUUGCAAUCACACUAAACAUUGGAUGAUUGUAUUCUACUCAAUUCUUUCAGUUGAUUUUAUUUUUAAAACUUCACAUUCUUACAUCAGAUAGGUGAUACUUCCAAGAACACAGGGGUGAAUAAAGCAAAUAUUGAACCUCUUCUUUUAGAGUUUCAGUUUGGCAGAGAAAGAGAUAUAAACCAAUAAUUAUGAUAAUUAUUUCAAUUAAGUUGCCUGCUUCAAUGAGAAUGAGAGAGGCAAAGGGAUUCUCUUGCCAUAAUCUCGAAUGAGGCCUCUCAAGAAGGGGAGAAAGCAGAUGUGCUCUAGAAAGUGCCCCCCCCCAAAAAAAAACAAGGCAGAUUUCCCAUUGGUAUAUAGGUAUAUGGGUCUGGAAUGUGCAACAAUGUACAUCCUGGAGAUAUUAAUUUGCAACUUAAGUAUGUUUAGAAAUCAGGACAUGGUAGGGAAUGUUUUUUCUUACCAGUAGGAUGUAGAAUGAAAAGAUGACCUAAAGCUUAUGAGGACCUUGAACUUUUAAGCCUGAGACAGAGAAGGAGACACUGCAAAGGAAACAGAAAUGGAGUAGCUCAUGCAGUUAGGAGCCAACCAGGGAAGAACAACCUUCAGAAAGCACUGAAGAAGAAAACAAAGGAGAAUUGCACAAGAUCAAACUUUAAUAAUUAUUUAAUGGGGAUAGUGGAUUCUGUAUUGAAUCUAGAUCAUGUAUGAUUCUGGGGGACCUCUUUACUUCCCCGAGCCUCAGCUUCUUCAAAUAUAAAGUGAAACUAUUCCUAGAGCUGUUGUGAGGAGUAGAAAAUAUGAAACAUUCGAAAGCACUUAGCAGCUUAUCAUCCCCUGAGUGAAGGCUAAACAGGUAGUGACUAUUUUCUUGUUUUCAUGUAAAGAGACAUGGCAAAAAUGAAUUCUCCUACCCCUCUCUCUGUAACUGACUGCACAACACUGACAGUCUGCAAAACAGAAUGGGAAACAGUGUCUCAUCAAUCAUAUAGAAUUACAUACACAAUAAUAUGAUACAUAUACAUAUGUGGUACACAUACAUAAAACAUAGACAUAAUAAAAUAAACUACAUAAAGUAUACCACAUAUCUAUCUGCUGAUGCUCAUUCCUGGAACACUUUCCUCUUCCUCUCUGCUUUCCUGGAUCCCAUUCUUGCACUGCAACAUCACAAUACUUUCCUUCUUCCCAGUAUAGAAAUCCUCAUUCACAGGCUGCAUCAAGCUGUACUGCCCAUUCGUAUAACUGUUUCCUUUCUUAUUAGGGUUUCUGGCUGUCAAUUUCCCCUUAAGACAAGAAAGUCACCAAGUGCAAGCAGAAGUUGAGGGAAAGUUCUAGGUUUCACUACAGCAUGACUCCAGGCUCUCUGCUUGCCAAGCACUGCAGGUCCAGACUGUCCAGUUCCAAGAAACACAGGAAAUAGAGGGAACCCCGCCCAACACUGAACUUUAGGGGAACUCAGGAGCUCAGCUGUGCCUCUAUUGGGCGCUUCCACAUGGAUGGCAUCAGGAGGGUCUCCCCUGGCUCAGGACUCUCACUGAUUCAAAAAGCCCAAAGCCCAGGAUUCAUGGAGGUGAAAGUCAGCAGCAGCUGGAGAACUUGGAACAGGAACAGAGAUGUUUUAAGCUUUCACUGGAACAGCAGCAGAUCCUUCGGACAAAAAACAACAUGCAUGAGCUGCACUGAGGCAACACUGAAGAACAUUCCUUUUCAGAAAAUGAGAGACUGAAGUGGAUGCUGAGAGCACAGGGAGCACACAAACACAUGGCCCCUAGCGGUGUCCCCAGCAUGGGGGACACUGAUACCACAGCAGCUUGCAGAGCAUCAGAAGGGAUGAGGGUUCCUCCAGUGCCAGCUGAAAACCUGUUUCCUCCUUAGGACCCAGCAAGUCAUCACAGAGCAGAGAAGGGUAUUCCAGGGGACAAUGCCAUCCAAGGAAUUUCUUUUUUUUUUUUUUUUUUUUGUCUUUUUGCCAUUUCUUGGGCCGCUCUCGCGGCAUAUGGAGGUUCCCAGGCUAGGGGUCUAAUCGGAGCUGUAGCCACUGGCCUACGCCAGAGCCACAGCAACGCGGGAUCCGAGCCGCGUCUGCGACCUACACCACAGCUCACGGCAACGCCAGAUAUUUAACCCACUGAGCAAGGGCAGGGAUCGAACCCGCAACCUCAUGGUUCCUAGUCGGAUUCGUUAACCACUGCGCCACCACGGGAACUCCAGGAAUUUCUUACUUUGCAUCAUGAUACAGCCUCUUUGAAAGGUGAAAAGAAUAAAGCCAUGCCGAACAGAAGGCACACAGGCAGGGAUUUUGAUACAUUAGCAACCAGUGGGGUAGAGCCUUCCAAGGAGGACAUGCUGUGCUCAGCAACGUGCACAAUGGAAGAUGACGACUUCUCAAAGCAACAAAGACCUUUCUGGAAACACAUUUAUGUAAUUUAGGCAAUUUGAAAAGUGGACAUUAAUGGAUCAGUCUCUUUGCUUUGCAUACUGCACUAAGUAGGGACAUUUAAAGCCAAAGGAACAUUUCAAGUCUUUGAGAGGUUUGAAAACCUUCCUGCGAAUUAGCAUCCAAACAAU
rnacentral:lncRNA from 1 species